rnacentral:rRNA from 1 species
AGUCGAACGGCAGCACGGGAGCAAUCCUGGUGGCGAGUGGCGAACGGGUGAGUAAUAUAUCGGAACGUGCCCAGUCGUGGGGGAUAACGCAGCGAAAGCUGUGCUAAUACCGCAUACGAUCCAUGGAUGAAAGCGGGGGACUCGCAAGGGCCUCGCGCGAUUGGAGCGGCCGAUAUCAGAUUAGCUAGUUGGUGGGGUAAAGGCCCACCAAGGCGACGAUCUGUAGCUGGUCUGAGAGGACGACCAGCCACACUGGAACUGAGACACGGUCCAGACUCCUACGGGAGGCAGCAGUGGGGAAUUUUGGACAAUGGGCGCAAGCCUGAUCCAGCAAUGCCGCGUGCAGGAUGAAGGCCUUCGGGUUGUAAACUUUUGUACGGAACGAAACGGCUCUUUCUAAUAAAGAGGGCUAAUGACGGUACCGUAAGAAUAAGCACCGGCUAACUACGUGCCAGCAGCCGCGGUAAU